AGGACGAACGCUGGCGGCGUGCUUAACACAUGCAAGUCGAGCGGAAAGGCCCUUCGGGGUACUCGAGCGGCGAACGGGUGAGUAACACGUGAGCAAUCUGCCCUUAGCUUCGGGAUAGCUCCGGGAAACCGGAAUUAAUACCGAAUAUGACUCCGGCCGACAUCGGCUGUGGUGGAAAGUUUUUCGGCUAGGGAUGAGCUCGCGGCCUAUCAGCUUGUUGGUGAGGUAACGGCUCACCAAGGCGACGACGGGUA
rnacentral:rRNA from 1 species